UACGGAGGUCCCAAGCGUUGUUCGGAUUCACUGGGCGUAAAGGGUGCGUAGGUGGCGUGGUAAGUCGGGUGUGAAAUUUCGGAGCUUAACUCCGAAACUGCAUUCGAUACUGCCGUGCUUGAGGACUGGAGAGGAGACUGGAAUUUACGGUGUAGCAGUGAAAUGCGUAGAGAUCGUAAGGAAGACCAGUGGCGAAGGCGGGUCUCUGGACAGUUCCUGACACUGAGGCACGAAGGCCAGGGGAGCAAACGGG
rnacentral:rRNA from 1 species